rnacentral:lncRNA from 1 species
GUUUCUUUCUUUUAAGUAUGUAGUCUCUUUCUUUUUUUUUUGUAGUUUCUUUCUUUUAAAUAUGUAAUUUUUUUAUUAAAAUAAUACUUGUAGUUUCUUUCUUUUAAGUAUGUAAUUUCUUUAUUUCUUUUAAGUAUGUAGUUUCUUUCUUUUGUCCUUUUUCGUUUUCAGUUUUCUUUCCUUAUUUAUUUUCAGUUUCCUUUUUUGUUUUCAAUUUUUUUUAAUACUAUAGUUUCUUUCUUUUUUCCUUUUUUGCUUUCAGUUUUUUGUCCUUAUUUGUUUUCAAUUUUUUUUAAUAUUUUAGUUUUUUUAUUUUAAUACUG